GAAAUGUGACUCAAUAUGGCAAUGGAAGGCCCAAACUCCUGGAUUAUCGGCCCGAAAUCGCAAUGCGGUCCAUCCAUAAGGAUGGACUGGGAUUGUGUUUUUCAUUAUUGGGUUCACAAAGUUGUAAUUCUUUGGAUCAAUAGAUUGGUUAAACUUGCCAUUACCAUAGCCCAUGACCCAAAAGUCAUGUCCAUGUAAAUGCCAAGGAUGUGUCUCACUGUUGUUUAGGUUCAUUGUGUUGGCAUUUUGCAAUAUGAUGUCCACUGUUGUGUUGAACUUCAAUCGAUAAAUCGAGUUGCUAGUUGUAGCAUUCACAUUUGGCGCGAUAUUGAAGAUGUCGUAAUUCUUUUGGUCAUAGUUGUCCGGAGGAGGGGUUUGCUCGAAAGCAUGUAACAAGUUGUGUUUAAGGGCGAUCAGGUAAGGCGUAUGGGGCAUGUUGAAUGAGACGUUGUUGACUGACCAACGUACAUACCCGUUCACCCUAUUUUGUGUGUUGAGCAUGACUAUGACCCUGUCCGAUGUCAGAGGAGGGGCAUGGAUGAAAUCUCUGUGGGACUUGAUAGCAACACUCUGAGCCAUCCUGGGGGCAACGUCAUCCCAACGUGGCCCCGAGGGUGGUACAGUAGGAGGAUAUCUCCUAGGAUGGUUUGGGUAAUAAUUGAAAAUACCCAAACCAUUUGGAGUAGUA
rnacentral:misc_RNA from 1 species